GGAAGUAAAGGCAUACGUUAAAUAAAAAAAAAAUAAAAGAUAUAACAGUUGUGUUUUUAAAAUAGUGGUUGAGAGAUUUUAGGAAUAGUGGGUGAAAGAUUUUAGGAAGAGCAGUUAUUUUAAAUUUUAUUUAUAAAGAACGGAAAACAUGAAAAGAGUUACUUAUUUUUGUGAGAAAAGGAAAAAGAAAGCAUUAGACAGAGAAACUGAAAGGAAGUAGAGUCUGUAGAAGAAGGGGUGAAAGCUUAAUUUUUUUGAUCGGCUAAGGUAUGGGAAGCUUACCUUGAUGUUAUUAUAUGAUGAAUGUGAUUGUAAUAUUGAUUUUGAGUAUUCAUCUAAUUAUU
rnacentral:lncRNA from 1 species